rnacentral:rRNA from 2 species
GUCUCUUUGUGGUGUAUAAAUAAGGAGUCGGGCCUGCUCGGUGAAAAUUUUUUAACAGCUGCGGUAUUUUAACUGUACUAAGGUAGCAUAAUAAUUUGCCUUAUAAUUUGAGGCUAGAAUGAAUGGUUUGACGAAGGUUAGUCUGUCUCUAUCUUAUUUUUUAGAAUUUAAUUUUUAUAGUGAAAAAGCUUGGAUUUUUUAAAGGGACGAGAAGACCCUAAUGAGCUUAUAAUUGUAUUAUUAUUAUAAUUAGAUGUUUAUAAUAGUUUAUAAAUUUUAAUUGGGGUGAUUAAGGAAUAUAUGUACACAACUUCCUUAAAUAUAAUAUUGUUGGAUGGAGUAACCAAUAGAUUAUUGCUUAUAAUAAAGUUACCAUAGGGAUAACAGCGUAAUUUAUUUUGAGAGUUCUUAUUGAAAAAUGAGAUUGCGACCUCGAUGUUGGAUUAAAGUAACCUUAAGGUGUAGAAGCUUUAUUUGGUAAAUCUGUUCGAUUUUUAAAACUUU